rnacentral:rRNA from 1 species
CCUACGGGCGGCAGCAGUGAGGAAUAUUGGUCAAUGGACGCAAGUCUGAACCAGCCAAGUAGCGUGCAGGAUGACGGCCCUAUGGGUUGUAAACUUCUUUUAUAUGGGAAUAAAAUGUUCCACGUGUGGGAUUUUGUAUGUACCAUAUGAAUAAGGAUCGGCUAACUCCGUGCCAGCAGCCGCGGUAAUACGGAGGAUCCGAGCGUUAUCCGGAUUUAUUGGGUUUAAAGGGAGCGUAGGUGGAUUGUUAAGUCAGUUGUGAAAGUUUGCGGCUCAACCGCAAAAUUGCAGUUGAAACUGGCAGUCGUGAGUACAGUAGAGGUGGGCGGAAUGCGUGGUGUAGCGGUGAAAUGCUUAGAUAUCACGAAGAACUCCGAUUGCGAAGGCAGUUCACUGGACUGCAACUGACACUGAGGCUCGAAAGUGUGGGUAUCAAACAGGAUUAGAUACCCUUGUAGUC